ensembl:lncRNA
ACCCCUUCUGGUCACUCAGGUGCACCUGAGCUUCCUGGGUUAGCCAUUCCUUCUCACCUGGUGCUCAACCAUUGGGUCAGGCUGUGGCCUAGAAAUUCUGCUGUACUAGUUGCACACAGUAAAAUAGAAAUAGUUGAAAGAUAACUUGUACAGACAAAGACCACGCAGAGCAACAAAAUUGAGACCGUUAUGGCAAAAUGGUGUCUCCCUAUUUUGGGAUAAUGGAGCUGCUUUCUUUGUCUAGAAAGCAGUCAGCCAGGUGUAAAGGGCAGGGAGAACAAUUACUGAAACGUGCUUCUACAAGGCAGAGCAGAGCACAAGAGGCUAGACAGAGCAUUUCAUUGUCUGAUUACAUCUAUUGAUGGGCUUACAGUGGAUCUGAUUUUAACAGAGUCCUGGGAUUCCUGAAGGCUGGUUUUACCAGUGGCAAAGAAGACUUUAAGUAUACCAGCUUUUUCCACCAGGCACCUUGCUCCUUUAAGCAGCAGGCCCACGUAUACAUUAGUCUUCGUUUCCACUGCUGAUAUACUUGUAUAAACCUUUCAUGUCUCUUGCCACAUUCAGCUCUAGAUGAACUCUCCUAAUCCUAUCCCUACAUGUUUGAACAGCAUAUUCAUAUUUCUUCUGGAUCACUUGUGUGUACUUUCACCUCAUGUACCUUUUCUGUUUACCUCUGAGUUUAGCGAGGAGCAGCCUAUUGAUCCACACUCCAGUCCUUUGAUUUCAGAUGGACCAUUCUUGGGACUGGAGCCAGUGAACCUUGAAUCAGUCACCUCUCCUGGACUCCUUCUUCUGAAGAUUCUCUCCCAUGGAAUUUACCUGAGGAUUUUCCUGAACAGGCCAAAGUCUUUUCUCCUGAAGUCCAAGGCUGUAGUCCUGCUUUUUGCCUUCUCCCUCCUUGGUGGUUCCUGAACUCCACUAUUUCAUGUUCACUGCAUUCUAGGGUGCCUCUGACUUUCACAUACAUUACCCAUUCUUCCUUGUUUAUAUGUAGGAUGUCUAUCAGAUUGUCUCCCAUUUUUGACAUCUUAAUCACUCACAUCAGGAAUCAAUAUACUCCAGAAACCAACUGGACUGUUUGUCCACAGCUGUGUUGUCCCUCCAAAAUUAGCAAGUUGUGCUUAACCUCUAGGUCAUCCAAACUGAGUUUAAAAUGGGGCAGUAGUUUAAUUUUAAUGGAUAAAUAAUUUAGUCCAUCAGGGUAGAAAAGGUUAAGAACCAUUUUCUCAACUGUAACUGCAUUCACACCUGUGAUGUAAAUUUGUUGUGGUACUAAGUUUCAGAUUGCACCAGAGCAAUAGUAAUGAGAUAUGUGAUAUAAUCAUGUAGUUUUAAGCAUUUGAAUAAAGUACGCAAUUUUGAUAUAAAAUAAAGAAGUUGUAUCGUGGAC